rnacentral:rRNA from 1 species
ACGAAGGGGGCUAGCGUUGCUCGGAAUCACUGGGCGUAAAGCGCACGUAGGCGGCUUGUUAAGUCAGGGGUGAAAUCCUGGAGCUCAACUCCAGAACUGCCUUUGAUACUGGCGAGCUUGAGUUCGGGAGAGGUGAGUGGAACUGCGAGUGUAGAGGUGAAAUUCGUAGAUAUUGGGAAGAACACCGGUGGCGAAGGCGGCCAACUGGACUGGUAUUGACGCUGAGGCGCGAAAGCGUGGGGAGCAAACAGGA